AUUGAACGCUGGCGGCAUGCCUUACACAUGCAAGUCGAACGGCAGCACGGGUGCUUGCACCUGGUGGCGAGUGGCGAACGGGUGAGUAAUACAUCGGAACGUACCUUAUCGUGGGGGAUAACGCAGCGAAAGCUGUGCUAAUACCGCAUACGCCCUGAGGGGGAAAGCGGGGGAGCGAAAGACCUCGCGCGAUUAGGGCGGCCGAUGCCUGAUUAGCUUGGUGGUGGGGUAAAAGCCCACCAAGGCGACGAUCAGUAGCUGGUCUGAGAGGACGAUCAGCCACACUGGGACUGAGACACGGCCCAGACUCCUACGGGAGGCAGCAGUGGGGAAUUUUGGACAAUGGGGGCAACCCUGGUCCAGCAAUGCCGCGUGAGUGAAGAAGGCCUUCGGGUUGUAAAGCUCUUUUGUCAGGGAAGAAACACCGGCUCUAACACAGUCCGGGAAUGACGGUACCUGAAGAAUAAGCACCGGCUAACUACGUGCCAGCAGCCGCAGUAA
rnacentral:rRNA from 1 species